rnacentral:misc_RNA from 1 species
CAUACCUGUUCGAGCGUCAUUACACCCCUCAAAGAUAACUCUUUGGCGUUGGGCAAUGCCUAAAGGCAUGCCUCAAAAUCAGCGAUGGUGAUAUUCAACCACAGGCGACAACAGUCGUCUAGCUGGCGGGAUGUUAUCAGUCAAUUGAUGAAUUUCUAAAUGUUGACCUCGGAUCAGGUAGGAAUACCCGCUGAACUUAA